rnacentral:rRNA from 1 species
CAAUAGCGUAUAUUAAAGUUGUUGCAGUUAAAAAGCUCGUAGUUGGAUUUCUGUGAGAGUGCCGGUGUCGGCUGAUGCUUGUACGCAGGCGCUCUUAUAUCCUUCUGUUAACUGUUCUUGGCAUUUUAUUGCUGGUUCAGGGCUCAGAUAUUUUACCUUGAGAAAAUUAGAGUGUUUCAGGCAGGCUUAUGCCGGAAUACAUUAGCAUGGAAUAAUGGAACAGGACCUGUGCGUCUCUCGGGGCGCCGGUCUCCGUUGUUGGUUUCGGGGACUAAUGUAAUGAUUAAUAGGGAUAGUUGGGGGCAUUAGUAUUUAAUAGUCAGAGGUGAAAUUCUCGGAUUUGUUAAAGACUAACUUAUGCGAAAGCAUUUGCCAAGGACGUUUUCAUUAA